rnacentral:lncRNA from 1 species
CAGGACUCUGUUUCCAGGGCAACGGUCGAUAACACAACAAACACUGAAGAAAGUACAUGAGAGAAUUCCCUGUUCUAUUUUAGUUUUAGAAGUGAUCACUUACUACUAAUAAGAGGCUCUUUCCACGUGUGUUCCUAGUUAUGCUUGGGAGUCUUUUUGCCACGUAGUUCCGUGUCACUCUGCAUCACCAAUUAUGAAAGCUGUUGAAAAGCAUACAGGCUGUUGCAACAGGAGUGUUCCCCCACCUAUGAACCAUCUGCUCAUUAGCACUGAAGAUUGAAUCCACCAGUUGAACUGCUUGGAGGCAGCAGAGACAAGAUGCAGAAACAUUAUGCUUAUGCUUCUUUGUUGAAACCAUUCAAUCCUUGUGGUUUGAGGAAAACAGAAGCGAUUGGUUGUUUCAAAAAAUAUUUGGUCUUAGAGCNNNNNNNNNNNNNN